rnacentral:rRNA from 1 species
GACGAACGCUGGCGGCGUGCUUAACACAUGCAAGUCGAGCGAUGAAGCUCCUUCGGGAGUGGAUUAGCGGCGGACGGGUGAGUAACACGUUGGUAACCUGCCUCAUAGAGGGGAAUAGCCUUCCGAAAGGAAGAUUAAUACCGCAUAAGAUUGUAGUUCCGCAUGGGACAGCAAUUAAAGGAGCAAUCCGCUAUGAGAUGGACCCGCGUCGCAUUAGCUAGUUGGUGAGGUAACGGCUCACCAAGGCGACGAUGCGUAGCCGACCUGAGAGGGUGAUCGGCCACAUUGGGACUGAGACACGGCCCAGACUCCUACGGGAGGCAGCAGUGGGGAAUAUUGCACAAUGGGGGAAACCCUGAUGCAGCAACGCCGCGUGAGUGAUGACGGUCUUCGGAUUGUAAAACUCUGUCUUUGGGGACGAUAAUGACGGUACCCAAGGAGGAAGCCACGGCUAACUACGUGCCAGCCGCCGCGGUAAAAC